rnacentral:misc_RNA from 1 species
UCACCGCUUGCGCGGGCAGUCUCAUUAGAGUCCCCAGCAUGACCUGUUGGCAACUAAUGAUAGGGGUUGCGCUCGUUACGGGACUUAACCCAACACCUCACGGCACGAGCUGACGACAGCCAUGCAACACCUCUACUACUGUCUCUUGCGAGAAGACGAUGUUUCCACCGCUGGUCAGUAGCGGUUCAAGCCCAGGUAAGGUUCUUCGCGUUGCGUCGAAUUGAACCACAUGUUCCACCGCUUGUGCGGGCCCCCGUCAAUUCCUUUGAGUUUCAACCUUGCGGUCGUACUCCCCAGGCGGGGUACUUCCUGCGUUAGCGCCGGCACCCAGAGGGUCGCUCCCCCAGGCACCUAGUACCCAUCGUUUACGGCGUGGACUAC